rnacentral:lncRNA from 1 species
ACCAGGUUCCUCAAAAAACAAACAACAACAACAAAAAAACCAACAAAACAUGAAGAAGCCAAAUCUGGAGGAUGAGUUUUCCAAAUUAAACACUGAAUAUUGUUGUAGAGUAAAAUGAUACUGUUUGUAAAGAGAUGUUUUUACUAGACAUCCUCUUCCUAGCCACCUAUUAAGGAAUAACUAGAAUAUAUAUUAACAGGAAGACAUCGGAAAUUAUCUUUGCACCUGAGAAAAUGUUAAGAUUCAGAAUUUGGCUGGAUGCUACUAAAGAGCUACUGAAAUAGACUCAAUGGCAGCUACAAUGCCCAACAGAAGCAGCGAUGCCUGGUGCACAUAGCAGGUUGCUAGCAGGAGUCUCCUGGGGUGAUUCACCUGUCUUGUUGGUGAGGAUAUGGACAUCAUCUGGGGACUCUCAGAAAUCCCUGAAGUGAUAUAGAGUCCCACAUGAGCUUGCCUAUGGUGUUUUACAAACCAAUAAUGUAGUGUUCAUAAACCAAAGUCACUUGGAGGU